CUUCGGGGUGUGACUGCGUACCUUUUGUAUAAUGGGUCAGCGACUUAUAUUCUGUAGCAAGGUUAACCGUAUAGGGGAGCCGGAGGGAAACCGAGUCUUAAUUGGGCGUUAAGUUGCAGGGUAUAGACCCGAAACCCGGUGAUCUAGCCAUGGGCAGGUUGAAGGUUGGGUAACACUAACUGGAGGACCGAACCGACUAAUGUUGAAAAAUUAGCGGAUGACCUGUGGCUGGGGGUGAAAGGCCAAUCAAACCGGGAGAUAGCUGGUUCUCCCCGAAAGCUAUUUAGGUAGCGCCUCGUGAAUUCAUCUCCGGGGGUAGAGCACUGUUUCGGCUAGGGGGCCAUCCCGGCUUACCAACCCGAUGCAAACUGCGAAUACCGGAGAAUGUUAUCACGGGAGACACACGGCGGGUGCUAACGUCCGUCGUGAAGAGGGAAACAACCCAGACCGCCAGCUAAGGUCCCAAAGUCAUGGUUAAGUGGGAAACGAUGUGGGAAGGCCCAGACAGCCAGGAUGUUGGCUUAGAAGCAGCCAUCAUUUAAAGAAAGCGUAAUAGCUCACUGGUCGAGUCGGCCUGCGCGGAAGAUGUAACGGGGCUAAACCAUGCACCGAAGCUGCGGCAGCGAACGUAUCACCCAAGACAACUUUACGGAGUUGACGAUUGACGGAGCGAAGCGACGUCAAAGCGUUCAUUAAAGUCGAG
rnacentral:rRNA from 1 species